AUAGAGCUGUCAAAUGGUCCGUCC
rnacentral:siRNA from 1 species